rnacentral:rRNA from 1 species
CCUACGGGAGGCAGCAGUAGGGAAUCUUCCACAAUGGACGAAAGUCUGAUGGAGCAAUGCCGCGUGAGUGAAGAAGGGUUUCGGCUCGUAAAACUCUGUUGUUAGAGAAGAACGGGCGUGAGAGUAACUGCUCACGUCGCGACGGUAUCUAACCAGAAAGUCACGGCUAACUACGUGCCAGCAGCCGCGGUAAU